UACGGGGGGAGCAAGCGUUGUUCGGAUUUACUGGGCGUAAAGGGCUUGUAGGUGGCCAACUAAGUCAGACGUGAAAUCCCUCGGCUUAACCGGGGAACUGCGUCUGAUACUGGAUGGCUUGAGUGUGGGAGAGGGAUGCGGAAUUCCAGGUGUAGCGGUGAAAUGCGUAGAUAUCUGGAGGAACACCGGUGGCGAAGGCGGCAUCCUGGACCAUUACUGACACUGAAAAGCGAAAGCCAGGGGAGCAAACGGG
rnacentral:rRNA from 1 species